AAAAGCAGACAUUCAUUCACUCCGUUUACUACUUUGCAUAUACAUAUACGUUUAUGUGGCACUAACUAUUCUAACAUUGAGCAAAAAAGUUGAAAUUAAAGUUCCACUCCUUCGACAGUAUUUCGCACUUUAACUCACAUAUUCGCAUGCUCCAUUACUCAAGAAUUUUGCAUAUCGCUCUGUAUUUUCGUCACUUAUGCCAUUCUCUAUGGUUCGGUUUCUGCUUUUGUUUUUUGGUUUUGGUGCUGUCUUUACCUCGAACGACCGCAUUCCUACAAGUAUUUCGCAUAUGCCACCACUUUUCGUAUGAAAUCACGAUCUGUGCACGACUUUUCAAACUUUUUACUGUCUCUUCUAGCAAUCUACAAUCUAAAAUUAAUUUUUCAGAUACAUGUCGUUCAAACAUGUGAGUUGCGCUGUCCUCCUCCUGGCCAUUUUCUACAUAAUACUCGUAUGAUAUCGCUCAGCCGGCACCUCGUCCAUCCCUCUGCAAUAUUCUUCUGGCAAAAUAUGAGCAAUAAGACGUCGCUGCACAUAUGUUCUACAUUCCUCUGCAUAUCUCUAUUUAGUCGCACACACGCACAACUUAUGCAUAUAAAUAAAUUAUUUAUUGCUCGUAUCUCACGUAUGUAUGUAUGUAUGUUUAUUUAUUUAUCGACUAUUUAGCUGCUUAAUCGGAUGCGUGUUUAUCACCGAAACUUUGCUAUUUUACUCUUGAGUAUGCCGGUGCUGCGGCGUUUGUCAUUGUGCCACCAGUUUCCACUUAUUCACUGGUAUAUUUCGUGCCAGCUUAGCGUGUGUGUGGCACCCGGCACCCUACGGCACCUUAUACACUCGCGUCAGCGUCGUUGUAGUCAACACUGGGUCCAAUACACAGUACCAAAGCAAAGCUGAUAUCAUAUAGAUCGACUAAUAAUAAUCAGCUACCAGGAUUUUCUAGACAAAUACGUGGUGGAGUGUUUGCUUACUGAUCGGGAAAUUUCCAUCGUCACAAGCAACAAAAUUCGAACCGAUUUUCCAUCGCUUAUGUCCCACAGCGUGCACGUCCGAUGUGUGUCGCACUGUGAAGUGCAUUACCACGGCCGAAGCUGGGGGCCAUGCUCGUUGAAUUUCACAAUUCCUUUGCUUUUUCCGGUCGAAGUGCACUUCCGAUUGAAUUGUCUUCACUUUUCUAUCUUGUUGGCCGUUCCUUCAUUGGCUCACGUAUACGCGCACCAACACAAGUGUAUUUAGCGAGAAUACGAACACAUUCAGACUGACGUCGCAUAUACACAUAAGUCCAUACAAAAUACAUACUACGCACUACAUAUGUACAUACAUGCAGACGAAUAUAUAAUACAUGUGCACAAACACUGAACCGCAGUGCACAAUGCCCAUUUUUCGUUUGCCGCAAUGCCGCCCGUCAUAUGACGAUGACGAUAAUAACAGUGCAAACAAGUACACACGGCAACAAUAGAAAUACUGUCAAUAUUUAAAUAAUGCCAAAAAAUAUCCGAUAAGUCUGCGUUUUUUUUCUUUUUUUUCAAACUCAUUUACGAAACGUGUAAACAACGCCCACAGCACUUCCAACUGAUCCUUAGCAAAUGUGCAGUUCUUACUAUAGCGUUACUCCCCUCCAUGUCUACUAGUUGGAAAAUCAGCUGUCUGCCAUCGGCGUUUGCAUUCGGCGAUGACCUUAAAUAACUGCUUGGCCAUCUGGUGUACUGUUGUGACUGACUAACUCUUGAUGUCUGCUUCCAGUUUGAAUGCUUUGUACUUAUAGGUGUACAAGUUUGGGUCAGUUUUGAAGCAGAUCAUUAAUGGAAUCAGCAGGCUAACGCAGCAUGCUGUAACUGGGAGCGGCCGUGGGCGCAUCUCGUUAAUAAAUUACAAUCGAAAACUAUUUAAGGCUUCUACGAACUUAAUCAGAUUACGAAUACCGCGAAAACUACAGGAUUUUCCGAGCAAAAUUAGUGAAUGUUAGAAGCUGAUAGUUUUGCUAACAAAUAGAAAUUUUGAUCACAUCAAACAUGCCAAAAUUAAGUAUUUUACAAAGUAUAAAUUGAAAUUAUGGUAUAAUAAACAAAUAUUUAUGGAAGAUCAACAUCUGUUCGGGAGUCUUUGAUCAGAUGAUGAAGAAAUAUAUUAUUAUGCGUAGAGUAUAAAUAAAUGGUAAUAGUACUGCAUUGUGAAA